ACUAGGGCUAAUUAAAAGAAAGAAGAAGCAGCAGCUGAAUCUUCUAUUCUUCUUGUCUGUGCUUUUGUUAAAAGGAUUCCCAAAGAAAAACCAUGAAGCUGAAACAACUGGAAAGCCUCUUAGGCGGUCUUCAACAGUUCUCAAACCCCAAGGUGGAGCUGGAACAGUACCCUACUGGACCUCACAUCGCCUCUGGCUUGCUCUACACUGCUGAGAAUUCAUUUGAUGAUAUUAGCAACAAAGUUGUGGCUGAUUUUGGUUGUGGAUGUGGCACUCUAGGUGCUGCUGCUGCUCUAUUGGGUGCCGAGCAGGUUAUCGGAAUUGAUAUUGAUUCUCAAUCUCUUGAAAUAGCAUCAAUGAACGCCGAGGAUCUUGAGUUGGAAAUAGACUUUAUUCAGUGUGACAUCAGUAACCUAGGAUGGAGAGGUCAAAUUGUUGAUACCGUUGUGAUGAAUCCUCCAUUUGGAACUCGAAAGAAGGGUGCUGACAUGGAUUUUCUAUUUGUAGCAUUGAAGGUUGCUUCUCAAGCAGUUUAUUCAUUGCAUAAGACCUCAACAAGAGAUCAUGUGAAAAGAGCGGCCUUGAGGGACUUAAAUGCUAGCAGCGCUGAGGUCUUGUGUGAGGUGGGUAAAACAAGCUUCACAAUCUGAUGAUAUGUCUUUUAUGACCAUAAACAAAUGUUGCCAUUAUGCAUUAUCGUUCACAGCUCCGUUUUGAUGUUCCUCAACUAUACAAGUUUCACAAGAAAAAAGAGGUGGAUAUUGCUGUGGACCUCUGGCGAUUUGUACCCAAAAGGAGUAGGGGAAAAGACAUUUAACUGCCUAAAUGCUCAUCAAGACCAUGCUUGAAGUAUAUCUCACAUUGAACGAACAAAAAGGAUGGUCCUUUUAACUCCCCUUGAUUUUAGUACUGGAGGUGUCAGGUGUGGUUCUGUAGGAGAAGCAGAUUCAGGAAUGUGACUUCAUGUAAUAGUUGAUGAGAAAUCAAGAAAGUCCUAUGGCUCCUUAUGUGUUUGCCUCGCUAUCUUAAUUUGAGACACUUCGUAAAAUCUCUAUAUAUCAAUUUUGCAGUCUCAUCUGGAUUAGAGAAACGAGCUUAGAGCUGUGAUUUUCAAUUAAAAUCUCUCUUAUCCUAAACGUUGGACAUAUCCCUGUGAAUGAGCUGAGGAAAAUUGAGUAUAUGUAACAGCUAAAUAUUAGGUAAUGUUUAGUACUAGUGAAGUGGAAGUACAUUAUUUGUAAUAUGUUUAAUUAAUUUAUAUUAUAGUAUUUGUUUUGUAACAGCUCAUUGCAAUGUAAGAUUACAAUGCAAUUACAUUACAAUUA